rnacentral:tRNA from 1 species
GAGGAUAGAGCCCAGUAGUAGAGCCUGUACUUAUUAUGCAUGAGGUCCUGGGUUCAAUCCCCAGUACCUCCA